rnacentral:rRNA from 1 species
CCUACGGGAGGCAGCAGUAGGGAAUUUUCGUCAAUGGGCGCAAGCCUGAACGAGCAAUGCCGCGUGAACGAGGAAGGUCUUCGGAUCGUAAAGUUCUGUUGAAGGGGAAAAAGAGCGGAGAGAGGAAAUGCUUUCUGAUUGAUAUUACCCUUAGAGGAAGUCCCGGCUAACUACGUGCCAGCAGCCGCGGUACUACGUAGGUGGCGGGCGUUAUCCGGAAUGAUUGGGCGUAAAGGGUGCGUAGGCGGCCUGCUAAGUCUGGAGGGAAAGGUAACGGCUCAACCGGUACAGGCUCUGGAAACUGGCGGGCUGGAGGGCAGGAGAGGGGGGUGGAACUCCAUGUGUAGCGGUAAAAUGCGUAGAUAUAUGGAAGAACACCAGUGGCGAAGGCGGCCGCCUGGCCUGUUACUGACGCUGAGGCACGAAAGCGUGGGGAGCAAAUAGGAUUAGAUACCCCAGUAGUC